CUCACCUGUGUCUCAUUGCUCCCGGUGUGUAUUUAGUGUCUGUGUGUUUCCUCUCUUCUGUUGUCAAACCUGUCUGUAUCUCUGCGGCUCCUUCCCCAUGACUUUUGGAUUCUCUGUUGGACGUGUUGAGGCUGUGGGGAAGAAAGAGCACGUCGUGAUGCCUUUAAUGACCCUCCAACAACAUAGGACAACAGCACAUCCAACUUCUGACACAUUUACUUAAACUCAAACCAUGUCACCCUGUCAACCUUAAAGAGGCAGUGCAAUAUAUGAAACAGAAGUCUUCACACUUCAUUAAAGACUUGGACCAAAAUAAAAUCUCACUUUACAUCAUCA